rnacentral:rRNA from 1 species
AGGACGAACGCUGGCGGCGUGCCUAACACAUGCAAGUGGAGCGACGAACCAGGCUUCGGCCUGGGGCAGAGCCGCGAACGGGUGAGUAACACGUGGGUAACCUGCCCCGAUGAUUGGGACAACCCGAGGAAACUCGGGCUAAUACCGAAUGUGCCCUCCGACCAUAAGGUCGCUGGGGAAAGGAAGCUUCGGCCUCCGCAUCGGGAUGGGCCCGCGGCCCAUUAGCUUGUUGGUGGGGUAACGGCCUACCAAGGCGACGACGGGUA